AGGAGACUACAGGAACGUUCUGCUGAAGCUCUGUGGCAGUGAGGAUUGAAGGAUUCCUGGGGUGUUUGUAACUGUUGGGAAUAACGCUCUGAAGGCAUCACAGACUGCCUGCUUGUCUCUGCAGUGCUCGGGGCUGUUCUGAGCUGCAGGCUCGCUGCAGCCCCGUGGCAUAGCCUUGCAUCUGGUGACGGACUGAAGCUGGAGAAUCCUGGCAGCAGAGGACGCUCCUGUCCCACAGAAGGGCUCACAGCUCCACCGCAGCUCCACCGACCUCAGUGCUGGUGAGGAGGCUGAGAUGCCUCCAAGUGAUGAAUGCAGUCCACCCAACCUUACACCUCGUGUGGUUCACUGUGCGAGGCGACCAGGAAGAAAGGUGGGCACAGGAUAUUUUACAGGUUCUGACUCAGGUUCCGAGAUUUUAAGUUUACCGUCUGGAAUUAAAGCCUUCUUCAACUGCCUGUUCUGCCACCUGAUCCGCCAUCUUAUCUCCAGUUUCCCGUACAGUGCUACCUUUCUGAUGUCCUUUACAGAGUAUAAUAGCCAUGCUCUUUGGUAGGCGUACAUCAUACUGAAUGUUUUCCUUGUGUGUGAGCAAUCCUUGCUCUUUCCAGAUGGCACUAUGAGCGUGUUCCACCCCAAAAGCAUGUUUAGCAUCUGACCAUGUAUUUAAGGCUCUUGUCAAGGCAGUUAUUGCAGCCUUCUGAGCCAAGUCCCCACAGGCAAUGGUUGUUCGAUUACCUGGUCAGUAGCAGUUACUGCAUAUCCUGCCUUACGGUUGCCUUGUCUCACAACACUGCUUCUGUCGGAUGAACCCAGGAAUCCUCAGCACUGUCCAAUGGUUCCUCCUGUAGGUCUGGCCGACUGGCACAGUCAGUCUCCAAGCAGUCGCACGCUGCCGGUUUGGAGGUAGCUCUGUGUUGGUGUUAGAAGCAUGGAAUGGCCUGGGUUGAGAAGGACCUCAAAGAUCGUCCAGUUCCAACCCCCUGCUAUGUGCAGGGUCACCAACCGACGGACCAGGCUGCCCAGAGCCUUGUCUUGAAGAAGAUUGUUUUUAGGAGAACAAAAACUUUGGACCACCUUUCAAAUACAG
rnacentral:lncRNA from 7 species